rnacentral:tRNA from 1 species
GGCUGUGGCUCAGUGGUAAAGUGCUUGCCUGGCAUGCGUGAGGCACUGGGUUCAAUCCUCAGCACCA